CGGCGGACGGGUGAGUAACGCGUGGGUAACCUGCCUCAUACAGGGGGAUAACAGUUAGAAAUGACUGCUAAUACCGCAUAAGCGCACAGGACCGCAUGGUCAAGUGUGAAAAACUCCGGUGGUAUGAGAUGGACCCGCGUCUGAUUAGCUGGUUGGUGAGGUAACGGCCCACCAAGGCGACGAUCAGUAGCCGACCUGAGAGGGUGGCCGGCCACAUUGGGACUGAGACACGGCCCAAACUCCUACGGGAGGCAGCAG
rnacentral:rRNA from 1 species